rnacentral:lncRNA from 1 species
GAAUCAAUGUUUGUAACCACUAAAUCACAAUUAAAUCAUGAAAAUAGCUAAAUAAUUAAUAACUCAAUCUCAAACAAGCUCAAUAUCGAAUACCCAUAAAUUUUUACACACUAGGAUUGAAAUAUAACUCAAGUUAUAAGUCUAGCUACUUAUAACUAAGAAAAAAAAAAUAUAAAUAUUCAAUGACAUAAACACAAUUAAACUAGUAAUUAUAAAACUAAAGCAAACUCUAGUGUGAUUGAUGAUCUUCCUCCUUGAAAACACCCCAAAAGCUGCUCUACUCCUAGUCCCAAGGCAAAAGAUACCGUAAGAAGUCAUAAAAUAUUUAUUUACUAUGUCCAAAUAUUUUAACGAAAAAUGCCCUUCAGGGUAUUGGACGACGUUACUUAGGUCACGCAAAAGGAAGUGCAGUCAGCACUUGGACGACGUUACUUAGGUCACGCAAAAGGAAGUGCAGUCAGCACUUGGACGACGUUACUUGGAUUUGCUAUAUUGUUGUGGUUUCACAUUCAGCAUUGUGGUUGUACGUUCAGCACUAGGGCAUCAUAUUCAGCAUUGUCGCCACAUAGGAGAGGGUUUCAGUUUAGUUGACUUCACGUUGAUGAUCUUUAGUCCACAUCAAUGAUUACUGUCCGCAUUUUCUUUAGUGUGGUCCAUACUUUCAGUAUUGCGAUCGCACUGUUUGGCUUUAAUGCUUUUGCAAGUUGUUGGUUCUUAAAGUUCAGUGAUGUGUGAUUGCAGUUGAUAGUGCAACCAUCAUAUACUUCCGCACAUUUCUAUCACGGUCAGCACUCUGAAAGACUGCAUGCAACUGAUUUAUCUUGGCUUCAGGUCCGUGGUUUGUGGCCCUAACAGCUUAAGUGUGUUCUGCACUUUUUUCGUAGCGAACUACAAUUAUUUCUUCACUUCUCAAUUUUUGAACUUUUCCCUUCAACUCGAUGUCUUCAACUCAUUUCAUCUCUUAUCUACUGAAUCAUGCAUAAAACCUGAAAUUCAAUAGUUUUCAUUAAGAUUGGGAACAUAAUAGCUACUUUCGGACUUAAAACUAUAGUAAAAGGUAGUAAAAAUGGUUAAAAUUCUCAUGUAUUAACUCCCCCAAACUUAAGUCAUUGUUUGUCCUCAAACAAACAAAAUAAUACCAAUUCUCCUAUCACACUUAGUCCAACUAAAUAGUCAAACAUAAAAUUGUUCAUGACUCAGUUGAUACCAAUAAAUUUUCACAAUACAUAUGCAUUCUCAACAAGGCUUCCAAAUCGAGAGAUUCAACUUCAACAUAUGCAAUUCAAGUGUGAUAUUUGAGGCUUAAGGGUUAGCUUCAUUCAUUAUGCGGCCUUGCUCCUAUAUGUCCACCAUGUUAUGUCUAUACUCUUCUCUUGUAUCUUUUAUUUGCAUUGCUCACUUCAAAGAAUCAAGUCCUACGACUCAACUAUAACAUACAAAAGGACUUUUCAUAUAUGCAAUAAACUCACUCUUCUCUCACAAAGGAUAUCUACAAGUUAGUCUUCAAGUAACAUAGGCUUGCCCGUUAAUGUAAGCAUGCUCGGUUCAAAAUUAACUAAGAAUUAUUUUCGGGUUAUAAUGAACGUUUUUGGUUAGGGAUAAGACACAAUUAUGCAUAAAAGUGACUAACACCUACCCUAAGCACUUUGUACAAUCAAUUCAAUAACACAAUCUCAUUCUUUUUCAAAUUCUUCCACUUUUUUCUUCUCUUUUACAAGACAUAGUACAAUGAUGAAGGGAGCUCUUAGAGUUUAUAGCUUGGAGUUAAACACUCCUUUGACCUCAAUUUCAUUCAAACUCCUAGCUUCAAGGCUUAAUAUCAUUAGAUUAUUCAUUUUUUUAAGGUUUCUUUUUGUUCACAAUGUCUUAUUUUUGUCCUUUUCAAACUACUCAUUUUCUCUUUUUAUCACCAUUGUUUUCAUUAGUUUCUUUCUUCUUGAUUUUUGCCUUGUUGUUUCGUCUUCAAUGUAGCUUCGUCAUCAAAAGUUUCCCAUUUUCUCCCUCAAAACUUAUGUAUUUGACCGAGAUUAUGACUUCAAGUUCGUAAGAUACUCUGGCAUCAAAAAGAGAAUAUGAUCAAAAAGGAAAAAAGCUUGUAACAUGGUUGCCAGUAAACAAGGUUAAAGGCUCAAAAUGAGUUAACUAGGGAAAAUGUAUAAUAGUGGGCAAUUUAAGGCUCAAAUGGUCCAAUGAAGGCCUAAAAUCAUGUUCCAAACCAAGCAAAGCUUAUAAUUUUGCUUUAAAGCACAUUUGUGGCAAGUUCUAGACCGUAAACUUGUACAAGUAAACUCUAGCCAAAUAUUCCCCACUUCUCAAGCAAAUGAAUUGUAAAAUAAGAUAGAGUCUAAAACUCUCAAUGACCACAAUCAGUUGACAAGAUAUCCAUGGCCUAUACAUACGAACUAAUGGCUCAAAAAGGUCAGCAAAGAACCUCAAAGUCACAAACUAGAAUUAGACCUUUCGAAUAGACUCAAGCACUUGUUUCAAACUAUAUUCACGUGGUUAAAUGUGUUGGUACCACCUGAGUCACAAAUAACUUAGCACAAAAGGACGACCAUCAAAGUUUUUAUUCAUAAAUAGAUACUACUCCACCAAAGCAUGUAAAAGAUUAUUUCUCUUAAGAAAGUUAUCAUGCUAUGCAUCAUCGGAAAAUAUCACCCGGUUAAAACAAAAAAACUAUCUUUGAAAAGAACUGCAUCAUUAAGAAAAUCAAAGGCUUAUUUAUCAUACCAAAAGAAAACAAAAGAAAACAUAACUACUGAAAGUACUAAACUACUCAGAAAUAUAGAAAAUAUAACUACUAAAAGUACCAAACUACUCAAAAAUAUCAAAUGUCAUCAUCAAGUUAUUACAAACCAUCAAUUAAAAUUUCUCAUCCCCCAAAUAAAAAGUAAGCAUUAUCACCGAUGCUUAUAAACAAAAGUAAAGAUAGAGAAGAGAUGAAGAAUCUCCCUAAGAAUCUCCAACGACUGCAGGAUCAUCUCCAUUCUCAUUAUGCUCAUCCUCAGAAUUGUGGAUUGUGUCACCUAAACCUUUCUCUGUCGAUCCUCAAUAUGUGUGCUGAUCUUAGGCUCAUGUUUACUGGAUGAGGCACCCUGGGUAGUCUAAAUUGGCAUAGGAGGUUGAGAAUGGUCAAUUAACAUAUCAAAUGGAAGAUCACGAACAAUGACCUUCUUUACCUCUUCCAUCAAUGCAUCUACUGAAGCCUUUAUUACUUGGUUUGUCGUCAACUCCUUCACUUGCUUAACUAGAUACUUAAUCACUGACUCGCAUUGAACUAAUGUAUCCAUAAUCAUCUUUUUAUUUUCUAACAGCUUCUGGACCUAAUCCAAAGUAAUGAGAGAAGGUUGUGUAGUAGAGGGUAUCACUGCAGCUAUCAACUUUGUCAAUUUGUUAGUUGCAUUCUGCAUCAAAUUGUUCAAACUCACCAAAGUCUUAGAAAUUCCCAAAGCAGACAAUAGGCCUGUGACAGAAGGUCCUAGAGCAGGUCUCGCAACUGGUGUGGAAGGAUGUGGUGGUGCAAUACUCUAAAUCUCAAUAACCAUAUCAACAGGUGUAACAGAUGAGGAUGUCAUGUUGGAGGUUCCAAUAAUGGGCACUCCUGGAUCUUCGGACUGGCCAGGAGCAUGUUCAUAUGGAGUGCUUUUCUUGUUCUUGGGUUCACGAGAUCUUUCAACGAAUACAAACUAAAGGGUCCUAUUGGUUUUAUUUUGACAUCAAAUGGCCUCGGCUCGACCUUAGAAUCUAAAAGGUACUAAGUGAUGGUGCUGGAAAAUGGUAAGGAUGAAUUUUCUUGAUGAGAAACCAUAUAGAUAUUAGUUUAUAUGAGAGUAACAAUAAGCACCACCCACUCUAAAGGUAAAUAAUUGUCAUUCUUGCAAGGGUGAAGUCGGCUACAUACAAAUGUUUGCCAUACUUUGCUUCAAAACUCAAUGUAACUCUAUAAAUCCUCACCCCAAUAGCUAACCAAGGUGGAGAAGCUCCUGGUUCCAAAAUACUAGCCACUCGUGAUCGUGCUAUAUCUUUCUCAACUAUCUUAGCCAGGUAUUUUGUAGGUACCACAUCAUACAUUCCCAAAUAUGCAUUCUAGGUUUUCUGAUCAAACUUCAUUUUUAAAUUCCUCACCUUUGUGACUUUGGUUCCCUUCACUAUAUGGGCGAUGUUGGCAUAAACCUCACGCACAAGGUGCUCUUGAACAUCAACAAAUGGCUCGAUAAAUUGCAUGCACCCCCUCCUUUUGGUAAACUGUUCUAAGAAAUACGGAUUGUACUUGGUCAAAUCCUUUGUGUUGAUUGCUCUUUUAGAAAUGAUUUAUCUUUCUUUCCGACUGUGCUUGUAGUUAUCAAAAUCCUCGUAUCUUAGAAACUUAUAUUUCCAUACAGCAUUUAUCUUUGACCUCUCUUCACCAUCUCUGGAUCUGGGAUCACCUUUCCCAUCAUCUACUUCAUUUUCAGCUGGUGAGUUGUUACUGUUUGGUAUAGUGUCAGGAGCAUGGCUAUGGCUCUAGGCAGCUUGAGAACUCCCCUUGUCUAAUUGGGACUCAAAAUUUCUAUGAGGUUGUGGUUGCCUAUCAUUAUAUAUCUCUCCGGUUCGUCCAUAACCUCAAAUGAUUCCCUAGAAGGGACAUAUGACCCUGAAUCAUCUUGAAGUAGCCUCAUUCCCCUACCAACGGUCUUUUUUGGCAAGUACAUCCAUAACACCUCGGUUCACAGCUCUUUUUUUCAUUCCUUUAGAGAAAAGAAAUUCCUAUAUAAGUUAAAUACAGAGGCUAGUGGAUCACAUACUAUGCUAAGAAGUUCCUAUAUAAGUUAAAUACUGAGGCUAACAAUUGAAAAAAUGAAUGAGAAAAGGAAUAGGGAAAGUGCUAGGGGCAGGGUUAAGUGAGGUCCGCACUUUCUCAAGUGUGAACGCAAAAAUUAAUUUUAGUCCGCACUUUCUCAAGUGCGAAUGCCAAAGUCGGUUGUGCUUCAUGUCUUAGUAACUCAAGUCUUUGGCUGUCAGUGCGGACCAAAAUUGAGGCCACAAAAAUUAGUUCUGGUCCGCACUUUUCAACUAGUUCAUAAUUCACAGAAUUUAUGCAGACCACAAUCACACAACUCAGAACCCAUUCAUUGAUUUUAAUCAUAAAAAUCACAUAUUUGUCAAUUAAAGACUCAAUGACUAUCAAAUGCCCAGGCGCAAUCCAACACCAAAAACACACACUCAAGCACAAUAGAAAAGAAACUGAUAGCAAGGGCACAUGUAACAGGUAUGAUUUCAUGCUUCCCCUCUUCAAUUGAAUUUUCCUAAAUACUCUAUAUCAUCCCCCAUGUAAAGCAAACAGUCAGAAAGAAUAGCCCCUAUAACAAACAAUAUGCCCGAAGAAAAAGAAAAGAAUAAGAAGAAAAAUAACGCAUACCAUAGGGUUAAGAGAAGAUGCACACUUGAGUGAGAGUGGAGAAGUAAAAUGGUGAUUAGUUUGCCCUUAGUUUUGCUCAAAUAGUGAAUAAGAAUCUGUUAGGUUCAAUCCCAAAGAGUGGGGGAAAAGAGAAAUUAGAUUUAGAUACCUUCAAUUUACACAUCGGGUCGGGUUAAAAGAAAUUUAAGUGCGACCAUAAAAAUGAAGUGCGGUCCUCACUAAGUUAUAUGGACCCUCUUGUGUGUUUGUUGAAUUGUGGUCCGUACUUUUAGUUGUGCGACCGCAAUUUUCUCCUUCAUAAUUCACCUACUUUCUGAACAAGCUUUUGUGGUUGCAAUAGAAUUUUUGCGGCCAAAAAAUGCCUGCGUUGUUGCCCACACUCAUUCUUCAAAAGAUCAGAGAACUUGUAAUUUUUCAAUUGUGCUUAUCCUAAAAGUGCGGUCCGCAACACAAUUGUACGGAUGCAAUUAUCAUCGCACUUCCCUCUACGUUGAUGCUUGAAAAGUUUAGAGAGUGUAUUACUUUAAACUCUCCAUCAGAAGGUCAAGUGCCUCCCCCAAUGAACCAUUACGGUCAAUGAUUCUCAAAGUGCGGUUCGCAAUUAUGCUCUACUCCAACCACUUUUUUGUACACUUCCACUAGUAUGGCACCGCAUGCCACUAUCAACCCAAACACACUACAUCCAUAUAAAAAUAAGUUAGACAUAUUAAAAUAACUACACACAAUAAAAAAACUCUCAAAAUUUUAAAAAA